rnacentral:rRNA from 1 species
AGGGCACCACCAGGAGUGGAGCCUGCGGCUUAAUUUGACUCAACACGGGAAAACUCACCCGGCCCGGACACUGUAAGGAUUGACAGACUGAGAGCUCUUUCUUAAUUCAGUGGGUGGUGGUGCAUGGCCGUUCUUAGUUGGUGGAGCGAUUUGUCUGGUUAAUUCCGAUAACGAACGAGACUCUGGCCUAUUAAAUAGACGAGGUAUUACUCUGUAUCUCGCGCUUCUUAGAGGGACAAGCGGCGUCUAGUCGCAUGAAAAAGAGCAAUAACAGGUCUGUGAUGCCCUUAGAUGUCCGGGGCUGCACGCGCGCUACACUGAAAGAAUCAGUGGGCGUUAUACCUAGCUCGGAAGAGCCGGGUAACCCAAGUAAUUUCUUUCGUGCUUGGGAUAGGGAAUUGCAAUUAUUUCCCUUAAACGAGGAAUUCCCAGUAAACGCGGGUCAUAAGCUCGUGUUGAUUACGUCCCUGCCCUUUGUACACACCGCCCGUCGCUACUACCGAUUGGAUGACUUAGUGA